rnacentral:rRNA from 1 species
CCUACGGGUGGCAGCAGUGGGGAAUAUUGCUCAAUGGGCGAAACCCUGAAGCAGCAACGCCGCGUGAAGGAUGAAGGUUUUAGGAUUGUAAACCCCUUUUUUUAGGGAAGUUUAUUGCUGUAUCUAACGAAUAAUGACCGGCUCACUCCGUGCCAGCAGCCGCGGUAAUACGGCGGGUGCCGGCGUUACCCGGAUUCACUGGGCGUAAUGGGUGCGUAGUCGGGGUAAUAGGUCAGAUGUGAAAUCCUGCAGCUUAACUCUAGAAUUGCAGUUGAAACUGGUAGUCUGGAGUGUGGGAGAGGUAGGUGGAAUUCUUGGUGUAGGGGUAAAAUGCGUAGAGAUCACGAAGAACACCCAUUGCGAAGGCGACCUGCUGGAACAUAACUGACGCUGAGGCACGAAAGUGUGGGGAGCAAACAGGAUUAGAUACCCCAGUAGUC